AUUGAACGCUGGCGGCAGGCCUAACACAUGCAAGUCGAACGAGUGGCGGACGGGUGAGUAAUGUCUGGGAAACUGCCUGAUGGAGGGGGAUAACUACUGGAAACGGUAGCUAAUACCGCAUACCAUCGGAUGUGCCCAGAUGGGAUUAGCUAGUAGGUGGGGUAAAGGCUCACCUAGGCGACGAUCCCUAGCUGGUCUGAGAGGAUGACCAGCCACACUGGACCUGAGACACGUCCCAGACUCCUACGGGAGGGAGCAGGGGGGAAUAUUUCACAAGGGGCGCAAGCCGGAUGCAGCCAUGCCGGGUGCAUGAAUAAGGCCGUCGGGUUGUAAAGUACUUUCAGCGGGGAGGCGUUACCAGCAGAUGAAGCACCGGCUAACUCCGUGCCAGCAGCCGCGGUAAUAC
rnacentral:rRNA from 1 species